UGGUGUGGGCUUUUGAAAUCUCUAAGUCCACUCCCAGUGACAUACUUCCCUUAACAAGACCACACCUACUCUAACAAGUCUAUAUCUCCUACUCCCCCCAAACAAUUUCACUAACUGGAGAUCAAACAUUGAAACAUAUGAGCCUAUGGGGUCCAUUCUUACUCAAACCACUACUGCAAGAAAAUAUAUCUAUAAUUAUCAAUAGCAGUUUUGGCAAGUUAACCUUGAAGUGUUCUUCCAGGGAGAAUCAGCUCAGUUUUCCAGCUUCCAGAUUGUACAUUGAAGCUCCACCUUGCCAGCUUCAAAAGAAUCUUAUUGUGUCACGUUCAGAGGACAAAUACUAUGAUAGCAGUUCCUAUCUCCUUACACCUCACUUUU